UACGAAGGGGGCUAGCGUUGCUCGGAAUUACUGGGCGUAAAGCGCACGUAGGCGGCUUUCUAAGUCAGGGGUGAAAGCCUGAGGCUCAACCUCAGAACUGCCUUUGAUACUGAGAGUCUCGAGACCGGAAGAGGUGAGUGGAACUGCGAGUGUAGAGGUGAAAUUCGUAGAUAUUCGCAAGAACACCAGUGGCGAAGGCGGCUCACUGGCCCGGUACUGACGCUGAGGUGCGAAAGCGUGGGGAGCAAACAGG
rnacentral:rRNA from 1 species